AGAGCUUUAGUUUAAUUAAAAUUUCUGUGUUGCAAGCAGUAGAUGUAGUGUUGUCUGCAAGCUCUA
rnacentral:tRNA from 1 species